rnacentral:rRNA from 1 species
AUGUCUGCCUUCGUCGGGAAAUACGCAGGUUCUCGCCUUGUGUUUCGCCUGGCUACUGUGUUUUUAGAGUCUGUGGUGCAGCUUGCUGAUGGUUUUUGUGUUAUGAUGAAAUGCGCAGAGGAGCUGAUCAAGACGGCCAAGUACAUCGCGACGCCGGGGAAGGGCAUCCUGGCGGCGGACGAGUCGACGGGCACCAUCGGGAAGCGGCUGGCGAGCAUCAACGUGGAGAACGUGGAGGCCAACCGGCAGGCGCUGCGGGAGAUGCUCUUCACGGCGCCGGGCGCCCUGGAGUACCUCUCCGGCGUCAUCCUCUUCGAGGAGACGCUCUACCAGACGGCCGCCGACGGCACCCCGUUCGUCGACAUCCUCAAGGCCGGCAACGUCGUCCCGGGCAUCAAGGUGGACAAGGGCACCGUGGACAUCGCGGGGACCGUCGGCGAGACCACCACCCAGGGCCUCGACUCCCUGGGCGCGCGCUGCGCCAAGUACUACGAGGCCGGCGCGCGCUUCGCCAAGUGGCGCGCCGUGCUCAAGAUCGGGCCCGGCGCCGAGCCGUCCGAGCUCGCCGUGAAGCAGAACGCCGAGGGGCUGGCCCGGUACGCGCUCAUCUGCCAGGAGAACGGGCUGGUCCCCAUCGUGGAGCCCGAGAUCCUCACCGACGGGCCGCACGACAUCAAGGCCUGCGCCGCCGCCACCGAGCGCGUCCUCGCCGCCGUCUACAAGUCGCUCAACGACCACAAGGUGCUCCUCGAGGGCACCCUCCUCAAGCCCAACAUGGUCACCCCCGGCUCCGACAGCCCCAAGGUUGGCGCGGAGGUGAUAGCGGAGUACACGGUGGCGGCGCUGCGGCGCACGGUGCCGCCGGCGGUGCCCGGGGUGGUGUUCCUGUCGGGCGGGCAGAGCGAGGAGCAGGCGACGCAGAACCUGGAUGCCAUGAACAAGCUGCCGGUGCUCAAGCCCUGGACGCUCACCUUCUCCUUCGGCCGGGCGCUGCAGCAGAGCACCAUCAAGAAGUGGGCCGGCAAGAAGGAGAACGUCGCCGACGCGCAGGCCACCUUCCUCGCGCGGUGCAAGGGCAACUCCGAGGCCACGCUCGGCAAGUACGGCGGCGCGGCCGCCGGUGGGGACGCCGCCGCGUCCGAGAGCUUGCACGUCGCGGGGUACAAGUACUAG